CUCUCUCUGUAAGGCCUACUAUUGUAUGUUUAUUUCAACUUCUUCAGAUACCUGAAGAAUCGAAGCAACCAAAUCAAAUGACUUUCUGGACUCUGCUUGCAUAUUCCUGCAACAGGGAAUUCACUCUCUCCUAUAGCAGUCUUUUGAAAAGUGCUCUGCUCUGACUGUGCCUCUGGGAAUUGUCUGUGUAACUUCCCUUGGUCUGAGCUCUGUACCAAGGAGACCCACAGAGUAGUUUUUGUCCCAUGACAGUCCUUCAAGAAUCUGAAAUUUGAGAUUGGAGGUUUAUCCUCUUCCAGACCAAGAAUCUUUUCAACUCUUCCUCAGAGUAGACUUCAAAUCCCCUUUUCAACUUGGUCUCCUCUCUUUUUUGGGAGUCCCUUCUGUCUGAGAGGCUCUGAAACUACAACACCUCAAGUUGCAGAAUAGCAAUCUAGUUAAAGUUUGAAAGUGGCAUUGCUGAAUAGAACCAUCAGUUUCUUCUGGUUGGAUAUUAGACCUUUAAUGGUACAGCCCAACUGGAUGAAUAAUUUCAUUCUAUGGUAGAGACAUUUGCUUCUUACUGAAUUCACGUGCUGCCUGUAUUUCUAACUUCCUGUGUCUGUGCAGGGCCAUGUGACUGAUCUGGCCAGGGGUCUGUGAACUGAAGUUAUAUGUGACACUCUGGAGUGAAACAUUUAAGAGCCAGUGAAUGACAUUUCUUUUUCCUGAUCAUGGAGACUUGGAAGCCAUGUGUUCCAGAUGGCAUUGCUAUAGGACACAGGAAGCCUGCAUCCGUGAGUCACUAGUGGAGAGGGAGUGGGCAUGAAGAGCUCCUGGGCCUGCAGUGGACUUUGCAGGCACCGAAAUAAACUUGCCUGUGUUAAGUCGCUGACAUUUCUGCUGUCGUGGUUGCUGUUACUGUAGCACAGCCUAGCAAACCCGACUAACAGGCCGUCAUGCUGCGUAUUCACAGUGGGCUCCAAGCCCAUUCCAUCACCAAUGCAAUGCCUCGUGUCAAGCCCAUCCCUCCUCAGUCAGCCCUGGUGGUGAUUCUUAUUAUUAACUUUGAGCUCCUUAAGGUUACUGAGCAUGUUUUAUUCUUUAUAUCACCCCCAGGGCCCAGUCUACCACACAGAGGGCAUUAAUCUUUGCUGAGUAAGGGAGUAAGAAAAGGAACUUCUGGGUCCAUCAAGAUAGAGACAGAAAAUAUCCCCUUUGGAAUGAGCAAAUGUGGAUUGAAAUCUCUAGCUCCCUUACUGACCAGCUGUGUCUCCUUGGUUGGUUACAUAUCCUCUGUGGAUUUUAGUUAGAUCGAGAUAGGAGUCCCGGUCUCUCAGAAUCUGAGGAUGUAAUAGUGUAUUUUAUAAAAAGUCUGGCACACUGUGUUGAAAAUAAAUGCCAGAUGUCAUCAUUUUCAUCAUUAUUAUCAUCAUCAUUAGUGGGGUCAAGGGAUAUUGUUGCCCUGUCCAUCCAGGUGGAGAGUUGAGAGGAGGAUCAUACCAAAAGGGAUUCAGCCCAAGGUGGUCACGGGGAGGAUUUUGCUGAUGUGGGAUCAAGGAGGCCCUCCUGGGUUCAGGGCCAGACAUCCCAGAUCUAGCCAUAUUGUAGCAUCCCUCCAAAGAUGCUCACCCCACCCACCGCGGGCAUCCCUCCCCUUCCUCACUGGUGUUUGCUCAACAGGUAUGUUUGGCCUGAGAUGCAGCUUGUCACAUCUGUCUGCAUGGUUCCUCCCAUAACUCUGCUUGAUUCCAGCAGACGCCUGGGCCAGAAGAUGGGAGAGUGAGGAGCCGUGUCUCUCUGCUGGUGGGUGUUCAGUGUGAGGCGAGGGAGCGUGACCUCUGCACAGAUGCCGCACUAGAGGUGGACAGCACAUGCAGGCAGAUGUCCUCUAAACACAAUCCCAGACAAGUGUCACUGUGUAGAGGCACGCCACUUUGAGUUUUUAAAAAAAUUUGAAGAACUUUUAUUGUAAUUGAUUUGCAACGCUGUGUUAAUUUCUCUCUGUACAGCAAAGAGGUUCAGUUAUACACCUAUGUACAUUUUAAAAUAUUCUUUUCCAUGGUGGUUUAUCCCAGGAUAUGGAAUAUAGGUCCCUGUGCUGUGCAGUAGGACCUUGUUGAUUCAUCCUCUAUGUAAUAGUUUCCAUAUGCUAACCCCAGUCUCUCAGUCCGUUCCUCCCCCAUCCCCUUCCUCCUUGGCAGCCGUAAGUCUGUUCUCUGUCUGUGAGUCUGUUUCUGCUUCGGAGAUAGGUUCAUAUGUGGCACGUUUGAGAGGUCACAUAUGAGUGAUGUGGGACUUGUCUUUCUCUUUUUGACUUGCGUAGGAUGGUAGUCUCUAGGUCCACCUGUGUACCUGCAAAUGGCAUUACUUAGUUCUUUUUUAUGGCUGAGCAGUAUUCCACUGCAUGCGCGUGCCAUAUCUUUACCCGUUCGUCUGGUAGAUACACACCACUCUGAAUGCCUAAUGUCCCUGAGGAAGAAGAAAAGAGAGGAAACUUACAUUUUUUGAGCACCUACUUUGCACAUUUAACCCUUAUUUAACCCUCAUGAUUCUAUGAGAUAAGGAUUGUUAUUCCCAUUUGACAGACGAGGACAUUGGGCCUAGGAAGUGUUUGAACUGGGGACAUGAGUCCAGGCUUACUUGACUUCAAAGCCAAGCUUCUUUUAAAUCAUCGCCUGCCUCCCAAGCCUUCUGCCUACUGCCCUCCACCUUGACAAAUGUAUAAUUUAUUUUCCUUCUUAAAAUAUUUCCUAAGUCACCAGGCACUGUCAUAUGUUCCAAGCCUGUUUCUUCUCCUGAAAAUGCAAUAAUAAUAGCACCUACCUCUUAGGGUUGCCAUGAGAUUGAGUUCAUAUUCAUAAAUCAUGUCAUGCAGAGUUAGCCUUAUUGAAGUAUAGUUGUUAAUGUAAUAUAGCUAACAUGUAUGGAGUGCUGUUUACCAUGUUCCAGGCAUGGUGCUCAGUGCUUUAUGUGAUUCAUUUUAUUUAACCCUCAAAACAACCCUUGGGGCAGGCACUAGUACCCUCAUUUUCAGCUGAGGAUUUUGAAGCAUAAGGUAAGUUAAGUCAAUUAUUCCAGUUCACUCCCUAAGGAAGAGGUAGUGUGGGAGUCCGAGUCUUGAUCACCUGAGGCUGUGUUAUAUGAGGUCAGAAUCAAGGAAUAAUAAUAGUAUAGGAAUAACAUGUAUUAAGUGGUUAUUAGGUAUCAGGCACAGUGCUAAUAUAUGCACUACAGAAUUUCAAUUUUCAAAACUAUACUCUAUGAGGCAAGUCCUGUAAUGAGCUGAUUUUUUUUUUAACACAUGCGAGUAAGCAAGAUUAGAUAACUUACUGAAGAUCUCAUGGCUAGAUGUGGGGACCUGAACCCAGGCAGUUGAUAGCCCUUGCACUUAACCACGUAAUCUCCUUAGCAGCAGUGAUAAUACAAAUGUUACAUAUCCUAAGAAUGUGAUGCAAUGUGGACUGAAAACUGGUUUACAGAAGGCAUCCUAUAAACAAAAGGAUCCAGAAAGUUUGAAGAGGAAGGGAUAAAUAAAGACAUCUCCAGCAAAGGCCAACACAAAGGAAAGGUAUUGACUGGUUGACCUUCCAGUGGCUCCAGGUGGGUUGAGCAGGUCGCAACCAGUUUGAUUCAGCUUUAUCCAGUCCUGGCCAACUCCACACAUUCUGUGCUGGCCCCACCAGGUCUGGUUUGAUUCAAGCCAGCUUGAAUCAGUUAGGUCGAGUUGCAGCCAGUUGGGACCAGUCUGAACUGGAUUGCCCUAGUUUCAGUCUGUCUCUUUAGGCUGACUUCCCUUUCAGCAUGAGGGUUCUGACUCCCUGUGGACACUCUUCUCGUGGACUCCCCGGUUGGAUGGCUUUGGUUGGGACACCAGUGAGAAAGAAAGUGUGAGAAACUGAAUCUCCAGGGAGUUAAGUGACUUGCCCAAGACCCGCGGAGCUGGGAUUCAAGCCUGGAUCUGCCUGACCCUUUCUGCUAUAUCAUGCGGCUCUCCCAGACACUGGACAGGAUCUCUUAUGACUCUUGAAGACACGAUGGAUGGUGUGAGGGCACAGAAGGGGCUCCCAUCUGAAGGACAACCAUGGGAUGUUCUUGAAGCGGGGCCUGAGGAUGGGAGGUCGUCUGCCCAGGACCUGUCUUGAUCCCCAUGGGCCCAGACUGAGUUGCUGGGACAGGAUGCGUCACCUCCCAGGGACCUGACAAGCAAGAUUCAGAGCAGCAGGAAGGACCGAGGGCCAGGUACAGGCGUGGGGAUGGGAAUGGUUGGCAGAAAAUGACUCCACUCAACAAACUGCGCCAGUGCUUUCUCUGAAUCUCGUGCAGGGAUGGGACACUGAGGUGGAUGGAUCAGCCUCCGCCUCUGCCCUCUUGGGGAGGAAAUAGCCAUGGACAGGAAAAGGCUGGUGCCAAGACGAGCUUUCAGGACCGGGGGCCCAGAGGAUGGAGAGAUAGACUGGCUUGGAGGAAAAGGUCAGAGUAGACUUCUCAGAAUAAGAGACAGCAGUUUUGAGCCUUAGAAGUGGGUGUGGCCCAGGGAGGGAAUAGUCACCUGCAGGCGGGUUGUCCCCAUCUGCAAAAUGGGGUCAAGCUCACUGCGGACCUCUUGGUCCCACAGUGAUGCCUAGUUGGUCCUCUUGCCUCCUGGUCUCUAAUAACUAUAUCCAGGACUCAUGAGGACCCUCUUGAGAUUUCUUCAAGGGAGUCCCAAGCCUGGAGCUCUCCUGGAGGUCGCCACUGGGGUCCGGGCCCUGGGUGGUUGUGCAUAGUGGACUCCUGAGAUCAGUAGGGUUCAAGCCUCUCCUUGGAAGGGCCCUGGGGAGGGCUGUGGCCUAGGCACUCUGCCCACCAGGCUUCCUGUGGGCGGCAAGUGAAACUUUUCUUCCUGGUUCUCUCCCAGCAGCCAGCUCCAUUCCCCCAGCCCCAAGUGGCGGCUCCUUGGGCCGGAAACAAUGUGCUUUCUCCACGCCUGGGAGUGGAAGUCAGCAGUUUGGCACCGUCUGGCUGGCAGCCUCCACCGGCUUCCUUUGGCACUUUAUUGGCAAAGGCGGUGACAUUUCUUUCAGUUGGGUGGGUGGAGCUGUUAUGCAAACUCCCGCUCUCCUCAUUCGCCAGAUGAAUAUUCAUGACUCAGGCAAUCUGUACCAGCCAGACUUCCCUGAGGGCGGCAGCUUUUCUUCUCUUCCCCGCUCUCUUUUUCUUUCUCCUUCUCUCCUUCCCAGCUCCUCGGAAAGCUGGAGUGCAGCUAUAUUUAAUUUACAAAUACGGAGCUCUUUAGCUUGCCUUUUGAGGUGCAGGCUUUGGGGAGGAGGCGCUGGUCAUGCAACAGUGGUUGAGGCGUGGGGUCCCUGAACUUGGGCCUUCAGGGUCCAGCACCUGGGCCCCAGCUCCUGGGAAGCUCCCGGGCCUGGGGCUCCCUCUGGGUUUAGCAUCUUGGUGCCCACAUGCCUGAGGAGGCAGCAGCCUAUGUCACCCCAUUCCACACUGGCCCCCAAGAUCGACAUGGACACUCCGAGGCACUGAUACUUUUCUGCUCAGUGCAUGGGCCAGGCCCCACCAGUAUAUCCUUGUGCCCCAGUCCUCUGCCUCCUGUGUUCCCCUGCUUGUCAAGGCACACCCAGACUCUGCUCCAAGCCCAACACCAACGCUGGGAAGGCAGUGGAGGGCAUAUGCCAAUCAUUGCUCUCCUAGAGAAGGAACAGGUGCCUGCUCAGGGUCCAAUUCCCCUGGGACACCCCUGUUCCCCUUCUGGGAAGGACAGCUACCUGGCUUCCUUUGUCUCUUCCCAGAGAGGCUCCAGAAACUCUGGCAGAGGGGUCAGAAUUUCCAGAAUUUGCUGGGGAAUUUGGUCUCAGCGAGGAUGUGCUCGUGUAGGGCUUGUGUGUGUGUGUGUGAGUGUAAAUAUUUACGCACAGCUUAAGUGCGUCUGUAUGCCUACAUCUAUGAUCGAGUGUCUGAGUGUGUGUCUGUAUGUGUAAGGGCGUGAAUGUGUGUGUGGCGGGAAGUCUGGGCAUGUCUACAUGUGUGAAUGUGCCUCUCCAGUUAGAGCUGCGUGUGUAUCUCUGUGGGUCUGGGAGGGCUGUGGGUAAAGGUACUCCUGGAGGGGGUGGUGGGGGGUGCGGUGAGGCUUGUGUUUGUGAAUGUAUACGUGUGUAUGUGUAAGUGAAUUGUAGGUGUGCACAAGUGUGUAUGUGGGCCUCUGAGAGCCUCAGGGAGAGAAAGAGGGUGUGUUUGUUAGGGGGCCAUUUCCCCUGACCUGCCCUCCCCUCCCCUCUGCACCCUUCCCUCCCAACCUUUUCUCCCCAGGGAGGUGGAGGGGGACGUCCCCCCCUCUCCCCCUUUGCAAGUGUUACAGAUUCUAUCCAAGGACGAGAACAGAAGGCUUCCCAGCACAGAGCGUCCUGAAAUUACUUUAUAUUCCCCCCUCCUUGUCUCAUCUAAUCAAAAUAGCAGCAUUAGGCUCACCCAUUCUCCCUGCCCACCACUCAGCCCUGGGGGAGGGAGCGAGGUGGGCCGUCCUGUCUGACCCCCUCCGAGAGCACCUUGGAGCCCCGAGCCAAGGAGCUGUCUUCCAGAUCUCCUCGUUCCGCGGCCCAGGCUUCAGUGGCAAGAGCCAGCUGCCUCCCUGCCUGCCAGCAACUGCCAAGCUCUUCCAGACCCACAUCCAGGCCCAGCCUCAUUUACAAAUAUGCAAAUUUGCAUCUUUUCUGGUAUGCAAAUGGAGACAUGACAAAUAGCUAAUUAGGGUCAAAAGAAGCACUCUGAACCAAUUAGUUGUAGGGUCGAUUCCUUUCUGCUGGGGGUGGUGGGGAAUGGAGACUGGGCCCUCCUGCUGCCUUCCCAGCCCUGGCUCCCCCAGGCCCCCACACUCUGGCUUGUCCUGUCUGGCUGGGGCUGUGGAUAUUCAAAGAGAACCAAUCCCACCUCUGACUCGGAGCUCUGUGCCCCUGGACUCACUUGCCCAAGCCUCAGUCCCUUUCUCUGUGAGAUGGAGCAAAGAUAGUGGCAGUCUUCUCUCUAAUCCUCUACCCGAGAGGGGUGAUACUUGGGGGAUAUUGGAUGUAAACAGGCUUUGGAAACAGUACUAAAAUUUCUCUGAGAGACACAUCAUUGUGCUCCUCCAAAGCACUUUCUGCCCUUGAUUUCCUUUUCUCUUUACAUCCACCCUCUGAAUUAGAAGAAUCUGAUAUAGGGAUGGUGGCCGUAGUUUUCGCCGUGGGUGCCAACUCUGGCCGAAACCAAAUGGCUGCCUGGAAUGAUGUGUAAAGGAGGAUUCCAAGUCCAAGUCUGGAGUCACCGAAAGGAAGAUUAUGAUCAAUUAGGGAUGUCUGCUGUGGGCAAGUCAUUGGACACUGGCAGCUUUUGGGCUGCAUAUUUAUUGACCACGAAAGAAGUAGAAUUUGGAGCAGGAACCUGGAUGCUGUCUGCUCUCUUGAGUAAAACUGAGCUCAGCUUUAAAACA
ensembl:lncRNA